CCAGGGUCGCAGGCUGCCCACCCGGGGUCGCGGUGACGGCCCCACAUCGGAGCCCAGCGCGCAGCAGGUGGCAGGCCCUGCGCCUGGACCUGCGCGCAGGCUGCGUGUCUCACAACUGGGCAGGGGUCCCGAGGACUUCCUGGAGGAAGCGACCUUUGGCCCGGUUCUAGCAGGGCCAGGAGCCUGUGCUGAGGCGCUGGGGAGCCAGACUGUCCGGAAAGGGCCCAGAGGGCGCAGGAGUGGGGAGUGGGCUGCAGGCGGGCAGGUGGGCGGGGGAUGGCGCAGGGCUCUGGGUGUGCUGGAGGGAGGAGGCCCGCUGGAGCCACCCCGCCCCUGCUGUUGCGGGGAGCAGGUGGGGCACCAUGUGGUGAUCUUCAGGAGUAGGGAAUACCUUCUCCCCCAACUUUGGCAAUUGAUUUCAUGAAGUGCUGGUAGUGGGGGCUCCCUGCUUGGCCUCAGAGGCCCUAGGAGGGUGGUCAGGGAAGGAUGGAGCCAGUAGGCUGGAACUCACAUGCCCACACUCAGGAAGGGCAAACCCUGUCCCUGGAAGCUGAGGGAAAUGGCCUCCAGUGGGCUGCUCCUGUGGCUGCCUGUCCACAGGGGUCUACCCUGUCAGAGCGUUAGGGAUGGACAGUGCGGUCUGUUCCUCUGUCUCCCUCGCUCCUUCUUUACAGUCUCAAGGGGGCUGAGUGGAUAGGAGGAAGCCAGGCUCACCCCAUGAGGGCCUGUGGGCUGUUCUUGACCCCUGAACUGCCUUCUGGGGUCCCCUCAGUCUGUGAUGGAUGGACCAAUAUGCCCACCUCUGAUGAGGGCCGUUGCUUCAAGCCACCUGGGCUCUGAGACCUGGGGCUGCUGCCUACCUGCCAGUGUCGUGGAGCACAGGACAUGGGAGCUGUCCGGUGGCCAGUUCUGCUUCCAGCAGUGCUCUAACUCACCAGGACUGAGUGGCUUGAGGCUGUGUGCACACCCUCUGCCCGCACAGCCUCCACAUGGCUGACCACCCGCUGGCUGUGGAAGAGGCUGUCCUGGCCCAGGACAGCCAGAACCUGCCCAGAGACCUUCCAGCUCCCAUGCUCUCCCUGGGCAACUCCACCUCUGAGGCCCAUGUUGUACCUGCAGCCACGUGUCCAGGCCACUCACCACCUACUACACUUGUAUGUCCAGGCUUGACUUCCCCCAAGGCCCCAGGUGCAGGGCAGCCCUCCCUGCCCCUCUCAAAAGGCCUCUCUGUCCAGGCCAUUUGUGGGGAAUCCCUGAAGGGAUCUGGGGUGGGCUGCUGGUAGAGGCCUCCUGGUCUCACUGUACCCCUGAGACAUCUUGGGGCUGCUCCUGGCUUUUCGGAGGGCUGGACACAUUGGGAAGCAGGGCAGGUCUGCCUCAGAGUGUGCAGGCCGAGGUAGCCAAGGCUUUGGAGUGAGUGGUGGUCAGUGGUGGCUCUAUGAUGUGGGGCGGCUGCACAGGAGCCCAGGAGUGCCAGAGUUCUUUCCAGAGUGGUUGGCAUGUGGGCUGGCCACCAGGAGCCAAGUGGUCCCCAGGCAAAGGAGCCCAGGUCCUUGGCCUUCUAGGGGCCAUCUGGUGGGAACCCAGGCAGGCUUCCACUGAGACCUAGGGCUCUUCUGGAAGCCCCAAAGCUGUUCCCCAACUGCCCUGAACCUGGGAUCAAGUGGGUCCUCUCCCUGCUGAAACCCGGGUGCAGCUCACAGGGUCCAGGGUCCUGCCUUGGCUAAGGCCUGUCUUCCAGCUUGGCUGCCCCAGCCACAACCACCUGGGGUGCCAUGGUGUACCCUCUGUGCCUGAUGUGUGUGGCCUGGGUGCUGAGGGUGGGGAAGGAGCAGGACGGGUCGACCUGGGCCCGCGGUAGCCCCAGGCUGCUGCAGUGCUGUCUGUGGGCUGCUGGCCUGGAGGGGCCGAGCAGCCGGAGGCCCUCAGGCCUACUAGGAGUGGGCAGACCUGGUGUGCUCUGAGCCCUGGAGGGGAGGUUGGCUGCUGCCCUGGUCCCCUUCAGUCCGUCCUGUGGGACACUCUGCUCAGUGCUCCCUGCUCCCUUGCGGCCCAUGUCCCUGACUUUGGGCUCCCUUUGCCUCUCCUGGGGCUGCCCUCAGCUGGCUUUGUCUGGGAGCUCCUGGGGUGGGCCAUGGUCUCCCGGGAUGCCCACUUCCCAGGGCUUGACGUCACAGGUUCAGGACCUGCCCCAUGAGAGUUGCAGCCCUUUCCCCGAUUAUGGGUUGGGGGACCAGAGGGACAGUAAAAAUAGACGUUACGCCUGGCUUGUUAGGCUUUUAUGUUUAGUUUUUUUUUUUUUUUUAAACUCAAAUUUCUUUGAUAAAAUAUUUUCCCAUGGAGGACAGCACUGGGAACGUCCUGUUGGCAGAUGUUCGUAAUGGACAGUACAAGGCCUCCAGGUAGCUGGCGUCAGAGGGCACACAGCCCCCUCUGGAGACCCUCUGUCCCCACAUACUGUCCUGGAGCUGGGGCUGGACAGGUGGACCAACCUACUCCCUGAGGUCAGCUGCUCCCUGCCUAACACAGGCCUCUGCCUGGCUCCCAGCCCACGUGGGGAUCUCUGUCCUCAAGGCGGAUGGUGUGGUGGACCCUGUGUGGCAGACCCCCUGGCUCUGCCCUGGGCUCCCUGUGCAGAACUCACUGAGCCGGUGGACCAGCCUGGGUCUCGCUCUGGGAACGCUGCCUGAGAGCGGGUUUUCCCUCCGGAGCGGCACCAAAAUAGCAGGAGGAAGGACAGAAAAUGGAAAGCCAGUGGCCGAAGCUCUCGAGGGAGGCGCAGCCCGCAGCCUGGCUGCUUGGGGACGGAGGCGCAGAGCCAGGAGCAGAGCAGACUGUUGGGGCCGCAGGGAGCAGGGCCCGGCCUCCCUCCUGGAGCCAGGCUGGGGCCUGGCGGCCUUCCCGCCCACUGUGCUGUCCAUGGAGGGCCCCUGCUGGGUCAGUCCUGAGUGCUGCUUUUCUCUGCUGUCCAGAUGGAUUAUGAGCCAGCAUAGCUCCAUGCGGUGGCCUCGGAGGGCAGAGAAGGGGUCUGCAGCACAGUGGCCACCCAGGGUGGGCCCAGCUCCCUGCAGCUGCAGACCCCUCAAUGCACCCUGAGGUGCUUCUCCAGUGUCCUUGUUACUGACCGAGCACAGGGCCUCCCUUGACCACUAGGACAGGGGUAGGGGUGGCCAGUGUGUGUGGGUGGGCGGUUGGGGGCAUUCCCAGGUCCCAUUCUGGUCAAGCUCUUGGCCGGCUGAGAAAGCUGCAGUUGAGGGGUUCCCGGAGCCGGUGCUGGGAGCACUCAGCCCUGGGACCCUGGCUUGCUGGGCCCUGGGAACCUCUGGGGACUGCAGACCCAGGGCGGCCGUCACAGGGGAUGCCGGGGCCACCAGCUGCUGACAUCUCUGCCAAGCAAGCCUUGUCCUCUUUCCCUCCAGCUCCACACGCCUGGGUUCAGGCUGAGGAGUCCCAGAGGCCUUCCUCCCCACCUGGCUCCUGGCUGGCCCUGUGGGGUCUGGAGCCACUGAGCCAGGAGCAGGUGUCCAGUCCAGACAGUGGUCUGUCACCAGCCGGGAUCCUGCUCCCAGACAGGCCUCGCCCUGUGCGUGCCCAGCUGGCUGCUGUGGUGGGCUCCCCUGCCCGGGCAGCCGCCUGGUGCCCUCAACAGGAGAGAGUGCGGAAGGCUGUGCAGAGCCCCAGCUGGUCAGUGGGUGGCGGGCUGAGGCAGCCUAGGAGCCCUUCUGUGUGUCCUGCCCCACUUAGAGGCAUGGGUGCAGUGCCAUGCUGCCCUCCGGGCCUGACUGUGUGCCCCCUGGGCAUCCUGUUGGCUGAGUUUGAGAUCACUCUGCCCCUGGACCCCUUCCCGGGUGCCCGUCCUCUGUUCUGGGUACUGACUUCUCUGGUCUGGGCACUUGCUGGUCUUAUGUGGGUAUAGCACUGUCCCAGGCCCUUGUCCUGCUUGCCAGGGGGCCUGGGGGCUGUGAGGUUGGGGCCAGCAGCUCUGAGGGCAGCUUCAGGAGGCAGCUCCCACCUGCUGGGCCCCACCUGGUCCCUUGGCCUGGCCUCAGUGCUCUCCCCUGCCCAGGGCUCUGCCCUGCUGUGCAGCCUCUACCGGGCCCUGGGUCUGCAGGAGCACAGCACAGCGAGCUGCCCCCAGCCCAGCUUCCUCCUGGCCACCCGCUUCCUGUUUUCUCAGGAGAAGGCAGCAGCCAGGGUUCUGAAAAGCUCAUUAAAAUGCCUCCCCAGCGUCCGGACAUCCUGGGGUCUUGACAGCACUUGCCGCCUGAGCACAGACAAAGAGAGGACGUGGUUCCUGUCACCCCUGGAGCUCACGCUGGGGGAAGGCCCCAGAGCACACUUCCUCACGCCUGCCUGCCCCCGAGGAGACUGUCCCCGACCCUGGAGCAGAGGUGAGGUCCUGUGGGGCAGGUGUGCAGGCAGCAAGGCCUCUGCUGUCCCUGGUCCCUGUUCUGCCACUGGUGGCCACCAGGGCACUGGAGUACACAGGGUGCAGAACCCCCUGGUCCUGGACGUCCUUCCCAGCCAGGUGGACUGGCCCCCAUCCCAUGGCUCAGCCCCUCCCACCUGGCAGUGCCUGCGAGGUGACCCCCUUUGGGAGGCCAAGCACCAUGGGUCCAAAGCUUCACCCAAGGUGAGGCGCUGAGUUGAGGAGCACAGCCGCCCUGGGGGCCGCUGAGCCGGCCAGGCCCUGUCUCCCUUCCCCCCUCUGCUCUGCAGAGCCCCCCCCCCCCCAGAGCCACUUUGCCCAGGCCUGGCAGGGAGGGACAAAGGCCUGCCCUUGGCCUGGUCAUACUUGGCUUGAGGGACUCAGACCCGGGGAUGGUGCAGCCCCUGGAGGCCUCUGGGCAGGUGGCCUUCACCCAGCCUCCCACUGGGACCACAGGGAAGGAGAACAGGACGCUCGCCCAGGUGUGGCACCCUUGUCCAGGGAAUCGGCGCCUGGGCCUUUCCAGGAGUGACCCAACGGGCCCGGUGGCCAUUGUGGCUCUGGGUGACACUCCCCAGACUUCUGCAGUUUCCCCUGCUCCCCCACGGUCGCUCGGGGCCAGGGCCCACCUGAGCACACAUGUGGGCCACAGAAGCUGCUUCCUGGGAAGCCACCGGCUGAGGGCUGCUCCCUGACCGUCUGGAGUGGAAGUGCCGCGGUGACUGAGGCCCUGCAUAGCAUCACGGAGGACCCACGGGUCCUCCCUGUCCUCCCAGGGUGCUCCUGGCAGCUCCCAGAGGACGGGCAGUGGCUGGAAGGUGUCUCUGUGAGGGAGCCCCAGCCCUGGCCAGAGCUGCUGAGCCCCCGCAGGGAUCCCUGCAGAUCCAGUGAGCUGCACAGAGAGGUGCGCCCAGGGACCCGAGGACACACACAGUGAACCCAGGGGCAGGCCCGCCAGGCACAGCCGGCACUGUUGUCCCGCACCUUCAUGCAGACCACGGAGCAUCCUGCUGGUGUUUUAGCUAAGAGAAGGGACGAGGUUAAGUGGGGGACAUUCGGAGGAGGCCUAGGGCUGAGCAGAAGAGUUCCCCGUGAAUUUCUGGUGCAUAGUGUCUGAAGGAGUUCUGCCCAGACCUGGGAGCAAGACCCAUCCCUGUGGCCAGGGCAGCUCCCCCUUGGGCUUCCAGACACAUUUCAUGGUAAAAGGAGCUGGCGUUGUGGAGAAGUGGCCACUCCAGGUCUCAUGCAAAGUGGAGGCCGAGGGGCGGGAACACCCUCAGACCAGGGAGCAGAGCCGGGCCCCUGGGGAAGGACGCGGAGCCUGCCGGCACCCACUGCCCAGGAGCGACGUGCCUGGCUGCGGGUCGCGUGCCCACACCUGUGCUCACAACCGUCUCUGGGCAGCUACCUUUGGAUGGUGUGAGGCAGCUCAAAAACGUGGAGCAAACACUCCCUCAGAAGUAGCUGUGGGGCGGCGGGAGGACACCAGGCGCAGAUGGAAGGAGAGCGGUCCUCAGAGCCACAGCCUCCUGGCACCAAAGGCGCGGCAGAAAUGGAGAGGAAGAACAGAAGAGAAAAGGUUUCAAGUCACGCCUCUGGGCGGGAGCCACCCCCAGAGUCGGGGACUCCAGUACCACCAGAAGGUGACCAGCUGGUCAUAAGGGCAAGGGCGGAGGCCUGUCUCCAUAAGUCAUUAGAGAAGUGCAGACCCAACCCCGGUGGGCCUGUGAGGAUGACAUCUGGAACAGUGCCCAUGGCAAGGUGGCCAGGACAUGCAGGGGGCGGCACAACUGCUAUGGGGAGCUGCACAUAGGCUUGAAGACCACAUCAUCUCGCAGCUCCAGACCCAAGAGCAGAGACUCAAGCAGACAUGGGCACACAGCACACAGUAGGGCUAUGUACAGCAGCGCAGCUGGGAACCAGCCCAAGUGACCACUGACUUCAGGUUCAAGGCACAAAAGCAGAUCUGCUCAUACUAUAGAAUACUACUCAGCCUGGAAAAGGAAGGUGAUUCUGACACAGGCCACUCGGCUGACACCAGACAGCAUGCAAGGGCAGCAAGGUGGCGCUCAUCUCUGUGGCCCUGUUGCCACACACCCUACCAGCUACACACUGAAGACAGUAGAAAGCCAUACAGAAAGCUCUGAAAAAGCAAAAGUUAAAUUAGCCACACACUGAGCCCUGUGAUGAAAGGGCAGCCCUGCCGCAACCUUCAUGAGUCCACAGGCCCAGCUGUCCCCAGAUGUGUUCUCGCGCUGUCUGUUGAGGCCCACGAAGGCUGCGUCUGCACUCGGCAGGCAUGGACUCACUCUUGCUGCUGUCCUUGCCCAGCGGUACGACUUGACGUCCACGUCAUGACACCCUGCUGGCACUUGCGGACAUCUGAAGAUGACAUGUCCAGGGAGGAGGUGGUGCGAGUUGUAUGCAGUCUCACUUUGGCUAAGGGAAAGGAGCGUCUCCAGAGGUUGGCCGGGACCCUGCUCCUCAGCCACCGAGAGGCAGGGCAAGCCAACACGACGCGGCACUGGAACAGGCAGAGCGGAGACGGGGACGGCAGGGAGGGGACAGAGCUGCGGUUCAGAGGACAGAGGUUUGGUUUGGGAUGAUGAGACAGUCAAGGAACUAGUCAGUGGUAUGGCUCUGGGGCAUCGCUGGUGUUCCCGGCACACUGACCUGGACACUUCACGGUGGCCACGUGCCAUGCACGGUCACCGCAGAGGAGCGAGAGCGGGAGAGCCAGUGUCCGCUGCGGUGCGGAGCGCAUGCCUGUCCGACAGAAAGCGGAAAUAAACCCAGACCAGAGUCAGCAGAGAGACCAAAGAAAAGGGCAGUGGUGGCCCACAGGAGCCACAGGGGGUGAGAGAGGCCAUGGCCGCCACUGUCCAGGGCCUGUGGCCAUCCAGCAAUGCUCCCCGGGACAGAGAGGAGGUCAGGAUUUCUCAGGAGAAGCGACCCAGGAGGGGAGCCUGGCAGGGAGAGCCCACGGGCCAGGAGGUGCUUCUGUUGGAGAGGUCGACCCACAGGCCCGCUGCACACCCUCACCCUGCACCUGCCCCUGCAGCUCCACGGGGACGUGCGGCACACGGAGCCUGGGAAAGCAGCGGCAGGCAGGACGACAGCCAGCUUCAGGUAUCGUCCACUCAGAGCCGUGCUGACACAGAGGAACAGCGAGGGGAUUCAUAGUCUUCAAACGGAUAACAGAGUGCCUGCUGGGCGGCCGAGCUCGGCUCCCGGGGCUGAGCACCGCCGUGUCCAGGGGGCUGUGGGUCCCCUCUGCUUUCUUCCUGUGUGUAUGGUUCUUUUUUUUAAAGUUGUUGGCAGA